rnacentral:rRNA from 1 species
GAUCAUGGCUCAGAUUGAACGCUGGCGGAAUGCUUUACACAUGCAAGUCGAACGGUAGAGGGGGCAACCCUUGAGAGUGGCGAACGGGUGAGUAAUAUAUCGGAACGUGCCCAGUCGUGGGGGAUAACGUAGCGAAAGUUACGCUAAUACCGCAUACGAUCUACGGAUGAAAGCGGGGGACUCGCAAGAGCCUCGCGCGAUUGGAGCGGCCGAUAUCAGAUUAGGUAGUUGGUGGGGUAAAGGCUCACCAAGCCAACGAUCUGUAGCUGGUCUGGGAGGACGACCAGCCACACUGGAACUGAGACACGGUCCAGACUCCUACGGGAGGCAGCAGUGGGGAAUUUUGGACAAUGGACGCAAGUCUGAUCCAGCCAUUCCGCGUGCAGGAUGAAGGCCCUCGGGUUGUAAACUGCUUUUGUACGGAACGAAAAGGUCUCUCUUAAUACGGGAGGCUCAUGACGGUACCGUAAGAAUAAGCACCGGCUAACUACGUG